AGGAGAUCUUUCUGCUGGGAUUUCAUCAAAUGAGAGUCAGGAGGAAGAAAAGGGGGAGUCUUGCGCUUGGAGAUAACAAUACUCCUGUUGUGCAAAAGCGCAGGAUUGUGGGAUUCCUGAUCCUGGAUCAGCACAACUGCAUCUUGCCCAUGUCUGGAUUGGAGACCCUGGAGGAGCAGCAGAUCCUGGGAUCACUGCAUUGAUGAGAUCUUUAUAGAAUUCGAAAUUCCAUUUUGUUUCCAAUGUGCAGCUCUAGGUACUGAGGUACUUGUACUAAACCAUGGCCAUUCUCCUUGGAUUUCUGAUUAUAUGUCAAAUAUGUCCAUCUUACAAUUUUUAGGGAUACAUUAGUGUUUCACUUUUCAUUAAUUUAUCAGCAUUAUCACCUUGUAACCUGAUCAGGUCAGAUCACAGCAGCUAAGUAAAGUUGGGCCCAAUUUGUACUGGGAUGGGUGACAUCUACGGAAAACUAUUUUUUUGCUGUUUGUGGUGUUGGUGGGUCAUUGGAUGGUUAGAUGGUGCUCUUGUAGCUCGAGCAGAAAUUCUAAACCAAUGUCCUGGUAUGGUGCCUGGGCACACCUAACUGUAGGAGGUACCCUUCUUCGAAUGACAUGUUAAGUUGAGGUCCUGAUGACAUGGUCAUGAAAGACCUCCUUGCAUUGUUUGUAAGUGUAGGGGUGCUAUCCCCAGACAGGGUUAAGUUCCACCCUUGGCUGCCCCAUCUGGCCUCCAUAAACAUCUGCCUUAGUUUACUUUAAGGUAAUUUCUCACUUCUCUGCCAGAUCUGCUGUUCCUUUUGGAGCUGCAGGUGCAGAAUGGCUGCUGUGUGUCUCCCAGGUGGGGCUGCACAUCACUGGUGGAUGAUGUGGGUCCCUUCCUAUAUGUGAAGUUCUAUAUGUGGCAUGAAAAGUGCUAAAUAUAAAUGCAAUCAAUUGUAUUAUAAAUACACACUCCAAAUUGGCCAUCUCACUGGGGAGUGGUAUGGAAGUCAUGAUAACAAUUCACAAAUGAAGAGACUAUUAAAAAGAAGCCAGUUUUCAUCUCUUCACAGCUCCAUGCAAUAGGUUGCAAUCCUGAACUGCCGUAUUGACAUUUUGCUCCAUUUGUCUCACUCCAUUCAUCUGUUUUACCAUCUGACGUCAGGAAUUACUGAGUGUUACAUGGCACAUGUGUCUUUCUUUCUAAAACACAGCUUGAUAACAGAGUAAUAAUGAGGUCUAGUUAGACAAACUAAUAUUUAUUAACAUUGGAUAAAAACAUGCACAAUGUAACACAACAUACAACAGUUACACAAUCAGAGAAAUGUACAAUACAGUGAGUUUCAGAGCCCUGCCUAAAUUCUUAUCUAUAAAGUAUAAAAGACAACAACACUCCUUCAUAGGCCAAAGUGAAAGGACCUGCUUUCUAAUAAACAAAAUGGAUCUUACCCAGGACUAAACAGAUGCUCACAAGACAUUGUGAACUAAUUUCCCUGCUCUAACAAUGCAACAUUAGACAGAGAAGAGGCCCCUUUAGCCUAAGGAUUCCACAAGAAAGGAAAUCAAAAUUUCCAAAUAAAUAAGACAGCCAACUCCCUUCUGUCAUGAAGUCCAGUACUCAUUCAGGGUUCAGAUUUACAGAAUCUGGUUUUGAGUCUCACUGGGAAAAGGCAGCCCCUCACAGCACAGCCUUUGAUGAUGCUGCUAGUUCCUGCUGAUUCUUCUUCCUCCUGUCCUUGCUGUCUGUUGUUCCCCUGUAUUUUCCUAUAUUUAUGGUCUGGUCCAUUCUUGCAGAGGCUGUCUUCUUAAUGAUCUCACUUGGAAUGACUCGGUCAUUGUUGAAUAUGUUUUUCUUUAAUAUGGCAGCUUUAAGGAUCUAGCAGUGACUUUGUUUAUCCCGAGUUAAUUGUUAGGACUCCUUUUAAUCUUCUGCACCUUUUGCCCUGUUCUCAUGUCUCAAGGCCCUUGAACAGCAGACCAUCACCCAUUGUUUCAAGCCUUCAGAAUAGAAUAAAACUGGAAACUGCAAACAUGAUACCCUCACUAACUCUCAGCAGCCUCUCUUUCCAAUUCAACAUUGUGGAGGCUUUUCAUGUGUGUAGUUCUUAUAUCAUUGCUACAUCUUCUAGAACAAGAUUUGCUAAUCUUUUCUAAGACCAGGCUUUUAUCUGGUUCUUUUGCCUGUCAUAAAAUUGUUUGCUCCUAAACAUGAUUGCGGACCUUUCGUAGAACUGAAAUUGAGAACAGGGAGAAUAUAAACGUAUCUGAAUCCUUUCCAAUAAAAAUAAACACUUCCUUUCAUUUAAUCUUAAUUUUCUCUCUCAAACCUAGCUGUAGAAUGAAGCAGGAUGUGAGGCUAAUGACCCAUGAGCAAUAGGCAACUGUUUAAGUAAAUGCACUCGCACAAAAAGCUUUUACUGAACAGCAUUUUAAUAUUUUAAAUAGAUUUUCUAUUGCUGGCUUUUUCUAACUGGAUUAGUUCUCUGAUGUGUUCUGACAGAGCCGUUGUUAGGGAUACUCCAUUAACUUUGUCUGUCAUCUUAUUUUCCCUGGUAUCCAGUGUAACACCCUUAUAUUUCAUAAUUUGUUUUGCUAUCAGUGCUGAUUUGUAAAUGUGCAAAUUCUAAUUAACAGCAGCUACUGUUUCUCAUCUAUUAAAUAUUAAAUCAUUCCUGUAGCAGAGAGUUUCCUCUGCAGAUGGAGCCCUGUGGUAUGCAAAUUCAUCUGCCUUAAGUUGUCAGCAGUUUUAAACAUUGGUUUUCUCCUGAAAUAUAUGUUUUUUUCUGCUGUUUGUUUUCUGUCUCCUUUUCUCUUCAAGUUAAUAUUUAUUUACCUCAGAUCCCUUGUUCUUCCAAUAAGAGCUUCACAGUCUAUUGAGUUUCAAUGGCAUUGCUUUGUUUCAGUUCAUUAAAGCAACCUUAAUCUUAGCAGUAGCCAGUUAGUGUAUAGAUGUAUUAUAUUCAUUUUGAUGUCACUUUGUGGCAUUAGAUAUUAAAUGUUGUUUUUUCUCUCUCUCAUUUCAGCUGCAGAUAGAAAAGCUUCUCAAUAAGUGGCAUGUGGGGAAAAUUGGGCAAAUCUGUGCAAAUCCCAAACCAGUAAUAACCAGCGUGCUUCCCGGGGGAAAGAUUUAACUUUUUGAAAACAAGCUGACACAGGUGACAGAUUUUCGCAGCCGUGGUGUCUGGUGGCUCGUUUAGUUAUUAUUUAACUCAGUCCGUAGAAUUACAGUAGUAAAGUGUGAUUGAUUCAGGGUGCACAAUUUGAAUCUGAAGCAAGGGCAGAACAGAAAAAGAAUAAUUCUUAAUAGAUGAGCAAACCCUGUGCGGAAUUAUUAAGACUUUAAUGUGAGUGUACAUUUCGUCAAGAGCAUUCUAUGCUUUAAGCCCAUACAAAUAAAAAUGUUUUGUUUUGCAGUAUUCUAAGCAAACUUAAGUCUAAUAAGCUUUUAAGGAGCAGUCAGCUGGGCAGUGAUGCAGCUAAUCCAACACUGCCAUACUCAUCAGGCUCCUCAAUGGCUGGAAUCAAUUCUCACUUGUCACUUCUGCGCCGCACUCACACUUCCUCACAGCUUGCACGAGACCCGCGCCUGGGACUGCACCCAGGAGGUGCUGUUUUAAUUUUUUUUUUCCUCGUUCGUUACUAAUGUGCAUUACAAGCAGCUGCUUCAGGAAGCAGGCCUGACGCGACGGUUUGUUAUUGACAGAACGUUCCCCAACAACACCACCACCACCUCCUCAUAGAACAACAACAACAGCUGAGGCCCCCAUGUGGAGAGCCACGAGCUCCAGCCCCACUGAGAGUGUGUCAGCACACUGGGAGUCUCUCACUGGGCUUGAAAUCUACCGAAGAACUUCAAGGUUAUGAACGAUAGACGGUCGUUUGACUCAACUAGCUCAUCGGGCUUUUCGAUAGAUAAUUGAUUCGGGGAUCUCAUCUGCCUGGGAACUGUCAUUGACAACAAGAGUGGGGAGCUCGUUCCAGACUCCCACAGCCUUUCUGUGUUGCGAAGUGCCCCCUUUGUAACCGCUUGUGACCACUGGUUAGUGUUGCACUCUUGUUUCUGAAGAACCACAACAGGUUGACUUUGUCGGUGCUCAAGAAGAUUUGAAUGCCCCCAUAAUCAGGUGCCCCCAUAAUCCUGUUUACUGAAGACUAGAAAAAUCCAUUUUUGGCCCUGCAGCCUUCUCCAUGGCAAAUGAUCAUGGAUGAACUUUAUCAAAAGCCUUCUGGAAAUCUAAAUAGGUCAGAUCAUCUGCUCUAUGUCUGUCCAUGCUAUUGCUUGUUCCAGGAGCUCUAAUUCAUUGCUUAAGAUAGAUCUGUUUUUAUAUUACAUUAGAGAAUGUCUCUUUUGCGGUUGAAACCAGAAGAAAUAACCAGUAACUAGAAAAUAAGCAGAGUGGAAAUGGGUUUCAUUUGCAUUUGUCUCUACAAGGACAGGCUGAUUUAACUUACACGCGCGGAAUGCACUUCUGUGCUCUUUUUACACGAGAGCAGUUACAAAUGAGAGGAGGUAAUUCUGCCUGCUUGAUCCCAGGGUCUCAGCCAGCUCUUUCUUGAAAGAAGCCAGAACACCUACUUCAGCAACAAGGCUGGGUACAGUAGCUUCUUCCGUACUCCAAAUGGAUUUUUAUAUACGAACAUAUAUAUUAUAUGUAUGGUAUAUUACUAUGCUUUAUAUAUAUUUAAUGGCAGAGUUAUUGAUACUGCCAGCAAAUGUAUUCUGUUUUCCUUAUCUUCUUUUUCAACUUCAAUAAAGAGAGUUUGGUGAAUACUUCCAGGGACAGAAAUAUAAAUUUGUAAUCUUUCACAUGAACCAGUGUACUUAUGCUGUAUAUAAUUCGUAUAUGUUGAGAUAAACCUGACUUCUCAGGCUUGUCUCUAAAAUUUUUUGCAGGUCUUUGUGAUUGAAACUCUUUCUUUUAGGAAAUUAAAAUACAGAAAGAUUGACUUAUUUUGAAUGUUUUGGGGCGUUGAGGAAAACUGACAGGCAGCAUCCAUUUUGGUACUGAAUUGAAGAAAUUGGCGUGUG
rnacentral:lncRNA from 1 species